rnacentral:rRNA from 1 species
UACGUAGGGGGCAAGCGUUGUCCGGAUUUAUUGGGCGUAAAGAGCGUGUAGGCGGUUUGGUAGGUCCGCUGUGAAAACUCGAGGCUCAACCUCGAGACGCCGGUGGAAACCAUCAGACUAGAGUCCGGAAGAGGAGAGUGGAAUUCCCGGUGUAGUGGUGGAAUGCGUAGAUAUCGGGAGGAACACCAGUGGCGAAGGCGGUUGCCUGGGGCUUUGCUGACGCUGAGGCGCGAAAGCGUGGGGAGCGAUCCGG